rnacentral:rRNA from 1 species
AGUGAACGCUGGCGGUAGGCCUAACACAUGCAAGUCGAUCGGCAGCACAUUAAACGCUUGCUAUUACGAGUGGCGAGUGGCGGACGGGUGAGGAAUACAUCGGAAUCUACUUUUUCGUGGGGGAUAACUUAGGGAAACUUACGCUAAUACCUCACAACACCUACGGGUGAAAGCAGGGGAUCUUCGUACCUUUCCCUCUCGCAUGAGCCGAUGUCCGAUUAGCUAGUUGGCGGGUUAAAGGCCCACCAAGGCGACGAUACGUAGCUGGUCUGAGAGGAUGAUCGGCCACACUGGAACUGAGAAACGGUCAAGACUCCUAGGGGAGGCAGCAGUGGGGAAUAUUGGACAAGGGGGGCAAGCCUGAUCAAGACAGACCGCGUGGGGAAAGAAGGCCUUCGGGUGUAAAAGCCCUUUUGUAGGGAAAGAAAAGCAGGAGGUUAAUAACCCGCUGUUGUGACGGUACCCAAAGAAUAAGCAACGGCUAACUUCGUG